GAUGAAGAACGUAGCGAAAUGCGAUAAGUAAUGUGAAUUGCAGAAUUCAGUGAAUCAUCGAAUCUUUGAACGCACAUUGCGCCCGCCAGUAUUCUGGCGGGCAUGCCUGUUCGAGCGUCAUUUCCACCAUCAGGCCCCCGGGCCUGUGUUGGGGACCUGCGGCUGCCCGCAGGCCCCGAAAUUCAGUGGCGGUCGCGCCGUAGCAACCGAGCGUAGUAACUAAUACGUCUCGCUCUGGCUCGCUGGGCGCGCUCCGGCCGUAAAACACCCCCCCUUUUCGCAAAGGUUGACCUCGGAUCAGGUAGGAAUACCCGCUGAACUUAAGCAUAUCAAUAAGCGGAGGA
rnacentral:misc_RNA from 1 species